UACGUAGGGGGCAAGCGUUGUCCGGAUUUAUUGGGCGUAAAGGGCGUGUAGGCGGCCAGGUAGGUCCGAUGUGAAAUCUGGAGGCUCAACCUCCAGCGGUCAUUGGAAACCAUCUGGCUAGAGUCCGGAAGAGGAGAGUGGAAUUCCCGGUGUAGCGGUGAAAUGCGCAGAUAUCGGGAAGAACACCCAUGGCGAAGGCAGCUCUCUGGGACGGUACUGACGCUGAGACGCGAAAGCGUGGGGAGCGAACAGG
rnacentral:rRNA from 1 species